CAUGAACUUGUCAAAGUUCUCCUUCUCCGUCAGUGAUGUCAGGAUGUUUCUCCAUGUUAUACCUGUUUCCAAUGAAUGGUGGGUGACUUAAUUGCAUUUCUCCAGCCAAGUCAAUGGCCGUCUGGUCAUAAACCGCCUGUACAAUCGACUCUUUCAGUGUGUUGCAAAUUCACUCAAUAAGCACAGCUGCAGAUGAGGAACCUUUGCAGUGUCCCUUAAAUCUUGUUGUAGUGUGGCCUCUUCUGCUCCAGUUGCCGUUUCCUGAUCUCUUCAUCAUACAUGUAUCCUGUGUAGCAGCAUGGAUCAUUUUCAGACACCAUGAGGUCUAUCUAUUCAAGUAAUGUUGAAAUCUCGAUUGGAUCAUUCAUACUCUUUUUACAGUUGGAGCCUGAGGCCCUUGACAUCACAGACAUUGAGAGUCAACACAGCGACCAACAGGAUGACAAGACAACUAAGGCUGAUGAAGAAAAGACAGACAUCACAACAAUUUCUUCUAAUUUCCCACAAAGCAGUAAGAUAGGUGGGAGCGUUUUAGUCAACCCUCAUUUAAUUCUCACAGUAUAACUUUGAUUUAGAGAUAGUUCUCUAAAUUGCUCUUAUUAUUAUGCACUAUAUUUUUGUGACACACCUGAUAAUUGCAUUGAUUGGUGACAUUGAUUCUGUUGGCUCUAUUUUCAGCUGGUGCCAAGGCGGUUAUUGUUAAACACACGUUAGUUAGUAAUUUUGGCUUGUAAAAACUGGCGCUCUGGCAUUUUCCACCUUUUGCACCAGGUUUGACAAUUUACCUGUCUAACAUCAGC
rnacentral:lncRNA from 1 species